AAGUCGUAACAAGGUUUCCGUAGGUGAACCUGCGGAAGGAUCAUUACUGAGGUUACCGGGGGUGAGUUGCGAGUGAUUUUUUGGUGCUGGCGUCUUGCAUGUGCACGGGUCUCUCCUUCUCAUCUUCGUUCCUUCUAUCAACCCCUGUGCACUACAAUAGGAUUAGAGCGAAGUGCGCUGUUUAGGGAUUAACCUAGUAGUUGUGGGUCCGCCCGCGUCGAAAGGUUAAUCUGUGAUCGGCGGCGCGUGGUACCUCGAAGUCCUUAUUUUAUCAUAAACCACUAUACAUGUCUUGUCAGAAUGAUUAGUCCCUCGUUGGACGCUAAUUAUAAUACAACUUUCAACAACGGAUCUCUUGGCUCUC
rnacentral:misc_RNA from 1 species